AGUUCAUUUAAAUUUCUACCCUAUCAACUUUCGACGGCUAGGUCUUAACCAGCUAUAGUAAUAACGGGUAACGGAGGGUUAGGGCUCGACCCCGGAGAACGAGCCUAAGAAAUAGCUAUUAUAUCUAAGGAAGGUAGCAGGCGCGUAAAUUACCUAAUACCGAUCGGUAAGGUAGUAACGAUAAAUACUAAUAUAAGGCUCUUUUAGGUCUUAUAAUUGGAAUAAAUAUAAUUUAAAUCCCUUAAUAAGGAAUAAUUGGAGGGCAAGUCUGGUAUUAAUAGCCGUGGUAAUUCUAGCUCCAAUAGCGUAUAUUAAAGUUGUUAUAGUUAAAAAGCUCGUAGUUG
rnacentral:rRNA from 1 species